AUACGGAGGACGCGAGCGUUAUCCGGAUUCAUUGGGUUUAAAGGGUGCGCAGGCGGCCGUGCAAGUCAGCGGUGAAAGCCCGGGGCUCAACCCCGGAAGUGCCGUUGAUACUGCGUGGCUGGAAUGCGGUCGAGGCGGGCGGAACGUGGGGCGGAGCGGUGGAAUGCGAAGAGAUGCCACAGAACGCCGAUAGCGGAGGCAGCCCGCCAGGCCUGCAUUGACGCGCGGGCACGAAAGCGUGGGGAUCGAACAGGAUUAGAUACCCUGGUAGUCCACGCCGUAAACGAUGGGCGCUCGUCGUCGGCGACAGACAGUCGGCGGCCAAGCGAAAGCGAUAAGCGCCCCACCUGGGGAGUACGGUCGCAAGGCUGAAACUCAAAUGAAUUGACGGGG
rnacentral:rRNA from 1 species